GGUGCUGGUAGUUUAAAGGCAGAACAUCCGGUUGUGACCCGGAAGGUCUGGGUUCGAAUCCCGCCUGCACCC
rnacentral:tRNA from 1 species